GUGCUCGCCUAGGCAGUACAUAUACUAAAAUUGGGAAGAUACAGAGAAAAUUAGCAUGGCCCCUGCGGAAGGAUGACACCAAAUUCGUGAAGCGGUCCCUAUUUUU